rnacentral:lncRNA from 1 species
AGGAUCAGUCCAGCCGCCCCCACCACCACCGGAACCAUAGCCAAGACCACCACCAGACCCUGCCCCAUAACCACCAGCAUUUCCACCAUGCAUUUGCUUAGUCUCGUAUCCCAUUGGAUCCCGGUCAGUUUGUAAUCUCCAAUCUUCCUUAUUAGCUUCAAGAAGAACAAAACUACAAAGCCCAAAUCCCAGAAGGACGAGAACCCAAGAGGCCAAAUUUUGUGUUCCCAUGACUUCCCACUAAGAAGUCAAAAUCAAAUAAAAGCUUGAUUAUCC